AGAGUUUGAUCCUGGCUCAGGACGAACGCUGGCGGCGUGCCUAAUACAUGCAAGUCGAACGAACUCUGGUAUUGAUUGGUGCUUGCAUCAUGAUUUACAUUUGAGUGAGUGGCGAACUGGUGAGUAACACGUGGGAAACCUGCCCAGAAGCGGGGGAUAACACCUGGAAACAGAUGCUAAUACCGCAUAACAACUUGGACCGCAUGGUCCGAGCUUGAAAGAUGGCUUCGGCUAUCACUUUUGGAUGGUCCCGCGGCGUAUUAGCUAGAUGGUGGGGUAAUGGCUCACCAUGGCAAUGAUACGUAGCCGACCUGAGAGGGUAAUCGGCCACAUUGGGACUGAGACACGGCCCAAACUCCUACGGGAGGCAGCAGUAGGGAAUCUUCCACAAUGGACGAAAGUCUGAUGGAGCAACGCCGCGUGAGUGAAGAAGGGUUUCGGCUCGUAAAACUCUGUUGUUAAAGAAGAACAUAUCUGAGAGUAACUGUUCAGGUAUUGACGGUAUUUAACCAGAAAGCCACGGCUAACUACGUGCCAGCAGCCGCGGUAAUACGUAGGUGGCAAGCGUUGUCCGGAUUUAUUGGGCGUAAAGCGAGCGCAGGCGGUUUUUUAAGUCUGAUGUGAAAGCCUUCGGCUCAACCGAAGAAGUGCAUCGGAAACUGGGAAACUUGAGUGCAGAAGAGGACAGUGGAACUCCAUGUGUAGCGGUGAAAUGCGUAGAUAUAUGGAAGAACACCAGUGGCGAAGGCGGCUGUCUGGUCUGUAACUGACGCUGAGGCUCGAAAGUAUGGGUAGCAAACAGGAUUAGAUACCCUGGUAGUCCAUACCGUAAACGAUGAAUGCUAAGUGUUGGAGGGUUUCCGCCCUUCAGUGCUGCAGCUAACGCAUUAAGCAUUCCGCCUGGGGAGUACGGCCGCAAGGCUGAAACUCAAAGGAAUUGACGGGGGCCCGCACAAGCGGUGGAGCAUGUGGUUUAAUUCGAAGCUACGCGAAGAACCUUACCAGGUCUUGACAUACUAUGCAAAUCUAAGAGAUUAGACGUUCCCUUCGGGGACAUGGAUACAGGUGGUGCAUGGUUGUCGUCAGCUCGUGUCGUGAGAUGUUGGGUUAAGUCCCGCAACGAGCGCAACCCUUAUUAUCAGUUGCCAGCAUUAAGUUGGGCACUCUGGUGAGACUGCCGGUGACAAACCGGAGGAAGGUGGGGAUGACGUCAAAUCAUCAUGCCCCUUAUGACCUGGGCUACACACGUGCUACAAUGGAUGGUACAACGAGUUGCGAACUCGCGAGAGUAAGCUAAUCUCUUAAAGCCAUUCUCAGUUCGGAUUGUAGGCUGCAACUCGCCUACAUGAAGUCGGAAUCGCUAGUAAUCGCGGAUCAGCAUGCCGCGGUGAAUACGUUCCCGGGCCUUGUACACACCGCCCGUCACACCAUGAGAGUUUGUAACACCCAAAGUCGGUGGGGUAACCUUUUAGGAACCAGCCGCCUAAGGUGGGACAGAUGAUUAGGGUGAAGUCGUAACAAGGUAGCCGUAGGAGAACCUGCGGCUG
rnacentral:rRNA from 1 species